AGCGAACAUUGGCGGUAGGCUUAACACAUGCAAGUCGAGCGAGGCGUAAUAGUCGAGCGGCGGACGGGUGAGUAAUACAUGGGAAUCUACCUCGAAGUGGGGGAUAACGUUCAGAAAUGGACGCUAAUACCGCAUAAUCCGGGAACGGGAAAGCGCGCUGCGCUUUGAGAUGAGCCCAUGGCUGAUUAGCUAGUUGGUGGGGUAAAGGCCUACCAAGGCGACGAUCAGUAGCUGGUCUGAGAGGAUGAUCAGCCACACUGGUACUGAGGCACGGUCCAGACUCCUACGGGAGGCAGCAGUGGGGAAUCUUGCGCAAUGGGGGCAACCCUGACGCAGCCAUACCGCGUGUGCGAUGACGGUCUUCGGAUUGUAAAGCACUUUUAGUGGGGACGAUGAUGACGGUACCCACAGAAAAAGUCACGGCUAACUUCGUGCCAGCCGCCGCCGUAA
rnacentral:rRNA from 1 species